ACGAACGCUGGCGGCGUGCUUAACACAUGCAAGUCGAACGGAAAGGCCCUGCUUUUGUGGGGUGCUCGAGUGGCGAACGGGUGAGUAACACGUGAGUAACCUGCCCUUGACUUUGGGAUAACUUCAGGAAACUGGGGCUAAUACCGGAUAGGAGCUCCUGCUGCAUGGUGGGGGUUGGAAAGUUUCGGCGGUUGGGGAUGGACUCGCGGCUUAUCAGCUUGUUGGUGGGGUAGUGGCUUACCAAGGCUUUGACGGGUAGCCGGCCUGAGAGGGUGACCGGCCACAUUGGGACUGAGAUACGGCCCAGACUCCUACGGGAGGCAGCAGUGGGGAAUAUUGCAAAAUGGGCGGAAGCCUGAUGCAGCAACGCCGCGUGCGGGAUGAAGGCCUUCAGGUUGUAAACCGCUUCCGCCUGUGACGAAGCGUGAGUGACGGUAAUGGGUAAAGAAGCACCGGCUAACUACGUG
rnacentral:rRNA from 1 species